AUUGAACGCUGGCGGCAGGCCUAACACAUGCAAGUCGAACGAGUGGCGGACGGGUGAGUAAUGUCUGGGAAACUGCCUGACGGAGGGGGAUAACUACUGGAAACGGUAGCUAACACUGCAUACCAUCAGAUGUGCCCAGAUGGGAUUAGCCAGUUGGUGGGGUAACGGCUCACCAAGGAGACGAUCCCUAGCGGGUCUGAGAGGAUGACCGGCCACACUGGGAAUGAGACACGGUCCAGACUCCUACGUGAGGCAGCAGUAGGGAAUAUUGGACAAUGGGCGCAAGCCUGAUACAGCCACGCCGCGUGUAUGAAGAAGGCCUUCGGGUUUUAAAAUACUUUCGGCGGGGAGGCGUUACCCGCAGAGAAAGCACCGGCUAACUCCGUGCCAGCAGCCGCGGUAAUAC
rnacentral:rRNA from 1 species